AGUUUUUCUUUCACUUGUAAUAAGACCAACGGUCACACUUGUCAUGCGUGUCGUCUAGGCAAACAUACUCGGCUUCCUUUUAGCACUUCCUCGUCAGUUGCAUCGUAUCCGUUUGAACUACUUCAUAGUGAUGUGUGGACUUCUCCAGUUGCGAGUAAUACCGGCUACACCUAUUAUCUUGUCAUUUUAGAUGAUUUUUCGCACUAUGUGUGGACCUUCCCGUUGCGGCGGAAAUCCGAUGUCAUAUCCAUUCUCACCGCCUUUUACUCCUAUGUCACCACCCAGUUUGGUCGCCCCAUCCACGCUAUCCAAACCGACAACGGGAAGGAGUUCGACAACCUCGCGGUU
rnacentral:rRNA from 1 species